rnacentral:lncRNA from 1 species
UCUUCUCCAACUGGGCAUUUUUAUAUGUCUCACCAACCGUGGUAUUUGUGACUGUGGGGGGUGUUUUACUGAAGUCUAAGCAAAUGAGGAUUCCGUACCUAAUGUGGCUUGGGCAGACUGGUCUGGUGGUUGACAAUCCUGCCCAUUGCAGGGGGGUUGAAACUAGGUGAUCUGUGAGGUCCUUUUAAACCCAGGCCAUUCUAUGAUUCUAUGACACACACUGGAAACACAUUGGAAGCACACUGGAUGAGAGGUCAUGGCCAUGGGACGUGGAGCUUCAUUAACAACCUGGAAUUCCUUCUGCAAAGUCUUGUCCAAGCAAGGAGUGGAGGAGCCACCAGCUGCAGUCCAGGCAUGGCUGAGCCCAACACAGGCACGCAUGAGCUGUUCCAUAACAGAAUGAAGGAAGAUGCAGGCAGCAGUUUGAACAAGGCAAAGGUAGAGACCAGCCCAAAUCUUUCUCACCUGGGGAAAAUGACUGUUCCUGUCAUGGAAAAUACCAAGCAGUUAUAUCUAUCACCUUCCCAUAUUAAGAGACCAAUGGCAAGAAGGCUCAUCUAAUGUAAAUCAGGCAACAUUUACCAGGCAGACGCGGUUAAUACAGCUGUUUGCUGGUGUGUCCUUAAGAGGAAACAAAUGGCAACUUCUCAGUGGGCAAGCAGCAGAAGCCUGAAAACCCUGUGAUUUUCUCCUCGUUUGAGAAGCUAAGAAAGAAAAUAAAAAUGAUAUAUAUCUCUAUAUAUUUUCUUCU